UGGGGAAUUUUGGACAAUGGGCGCAAGCCUGAUCCAGCAAUGCCGCGUGCAGGAUGGAGGCCUUCGGGUUGUAAACUGCUUUUGUACGGAGCGAAAAGGUCUGCCCUAAUACGGUGGGCUCAUGACGGUACCGUAAGAAUAAGCACCGGCUAACUACGUGCCAGCAGCCGUGGUAAUACGUAGGGUGCGAGCGUUAAUCGGAAUUACUGGGCGUAAAGCGUGCGCAGGCGGUUAUAUAAGACAGAGGUGAAAUCCCCGGGCUCAACCUGGGAACUGCCUUUGUGACUGCAUAGCUAGAGUACGGUAGAGGGGAAUGGAAUUCCGCGUGUAGCAGUGAAAUGCGUAGGUAUGCGGAGGAACACCGAUGGCGAAGGCAAUCCCCUGGACCUGUACUGACGCUCAUGCACGAAAGCGUGGGGAGCAAACA
rnacentral:rRNA from 1 species